rnacentral:rRNA from 1 species
GAGCGGGACACUUCGGUGUACAGCGGCGGACGGGUGAGUAACACGUGGGUAACCUGCCUGAUAGACCGGGAUAACGCUUGGAAACGAGUGCUAAUACCGGAUAGGCUCUUGAAGCGCAUGCUUCGAGAGGGAAAGAGGCUAUCGCCUCACUGUCAGAUGGACCCGCGGCGCAUUAGCUAGUUGGUGAGGUAACGGCUCACCAAGGCGACGAUGCGUAGCCGACCUGAGAGGGUGACCGGCCACACUGGGACUGAGACACGGCCCAGACUCCUACGGGAGGCAGCAGUGGGGAAUAUUGCGCAAUGGGCGAAAGCCUGACGCAGCAACGCCGCGUGGGGGAUGAAUGCCUUCGGGUUGUAAACCCCUUUCAGCAGGGACGAAGCGAAAGUGACGGUACCUGCAGAAGAAGCGCCGGCUAACUACGUGCCAGCAGCCGCGGUAAU